rnacentral:rRNA from 1 species
AUUAGAUUCUUGAAUAGCAAGAAUAGAACCACCCGAUCUCAUACCGAACUCGAUACGUGAAAUAUUCUUGCGCCAUUAAUAUCCUCAAAGAGAGGGCAAGGAUGGUAAUCUAAU